rnacentral:rRNA from 1 species
AGCUUCGGCCAUCCGGCGAGGGAUGGGCCCGCGGUGCAUUAGCUAGUUGGUGGGGUAACGGCCCACCAAGGCGACGAUGCGUAGCUGGUCUGAGAGGAUGAUCAGCCACACUGGGACUGAGACACGGCCCAGACUCCUACGGGAGGCAGCAGCCAGGAAUCUUGGGCAAUGGGCGAAAGCCUGACCCAGCAACACCGUGUGGGCGAUGAAGGCCUUCGGGUCGUAAAGCCCUGUUGAUAGGGGCGAAGGGCGAAGGGUUAAUAGCCC